rnacentral:rRNA from 1 species
UAUGUAGGGUGCGAGCGUUAAUCGGAAUUACUGGGCGUAAAGUGUGCGCAGGCGGCUAAGCAAGUCGAGUGUGAAAGCCCCGGGCUUAACUUGGGAAUUGCGCUCGAAACUACUUUGCUGGAGUGUGGCAGAGGAAGGUGGAAUUCCACGUGUAGCGGUGAAAUGCGUAGAGAUGUGGAGGAACACCAAUGGCGAAGGCAGCCUUCUGGGCCAACACUGACGCUCAUGCACGAAAGCGUGGGGAGCAAACAGG